UACAGAGGGUGCAAACGUUGCUCGGAAUCAUUGGGCGUAAAGCGCACGUAGGCGGUCCAGCAAGUGGGGAGUGAAAGCCCUCGGCUUAACCGAGGAAGUGCUUUUCCAAACUACUGGACUUGAGUACUGAAGAGGGUCGCGGAAUUCCCGGUGUAGGAGGUGAAAUUCGUAGAUAUCGGGAGGAACACCAGUGGCGAAGGCGGCGACCUGGGCAGAUACUGACGCUGAGGUGCGAAAGCGUGGGGAGCAACAGG
rnacentral:rRNA from 1 species